AUUGAACGCUGGCGGCAGGCUUAACACAUGCAAGUCGAACGAGUGGCGGACGGGUGAGUAAUGUCUGGGAAACUGCCUGAUGGAGGGGGAUAACUAUUGGGAACGGUAGCUAAUACCGCAUACCAUCAGAUGUGCCCAGAUGGGAUUGGCUUGUUGGUGGGGUAACGGCUACCCAAGGCGACGAUCCCUAGCUGGCCUGAGAGGCUGACCGGCAACACUGGAACUGGGACACGGUCCAAACUCCUACGGGAGGCAGCAGUGGGGAAUAUUGCACAAGGGGCGCAGGCCGGAUGCAGCCAUGCCGGGUGUAUGAGAAAGGCCUUCGGGUGGUAAGGUACUUUCAGCGGGAAGGCGGUACCCGCAGAAGAAGCACCGGCUAACUCCGUGCCAGCAGCCGCGGUAAUAC
rnacentral:rRNA from 1 species